GCCCAGUUGCACCCAAGUAAAAUAAACAGUCUUGUUGCUCACACAAAGCCUGUUGGUGGACUCUCUUCAUAUGGACUCAUGUGACAUUUGGUGCCGAAGACCUGAGACAGGAGGACUCCUUUGGGAGACCGGUCCCCUGUCCUCGCCCUCUCUCCAUGAGAUCCACCCAUGACCUCGGGUCCUCAGCCCAGCCGAAGGAACUUCUCACCAAUUUUAAAUCGGGGACGCAAAGCCAACAAGAAUGAAGAAGUGGCCAGCUGACCCUGUGAGUCUAGAGUCGAGACACGGACUGAGGGUUGCUCCAUGACCUGGUCCCCUUCUAGAUGUGAAUCAGUGCAAGGGCCCAGGACAGCGGAAGAGGUGUGAAGCCAUCCUGUGAUCGGGAAGCCACAGGGUGUCCAGACCCAGCGGGAGCCGAGGAUUCAGGAGAAUCUCCCCAGUCAGCUCCAGAGGUGCCCACAGUGUGAGCUCUAGUGUCUCCCAGGUAGGGGCCAAAGCGUCACCUGCCCGGCCCUGGGGGUGCAAGUGGAGUGGAUUUUACUCCUGUCCAGAAAAUGGAGUGAGACCCUGUCUCUAAAUAAAUACAUACAUUUAGACUCCUCUGUCUUUGCGUGUAUAUAAGCAAAGACAGAGGUGUUUUUAUCAGGAUUACAACAUUUUUCAUAAAAGGUUGGCACAUCAUUACAGCAAGUUGCUUAUAGGCAAUGUUUCUCUAUGAGAAGGGCACAUUUAACAUUUUUUACAAAGGGUGUAAUAGUCAUGGUUUUUCUGUUAUCUGAUCUAAGCAAGGCAGGACAACAAAGGGGAACUUAAUUGAUAACAAGGGUCAUUAAUUAACAGGGCACCACUGGGUGGACACAGUGGCAUCUGUAAUUCCAACACUUGGGGAGGCCGAGGUGAGAGGAUCGCUUGAGGUCAAGAGUUUGAGACCAGCCUGGGUAACAUGGCAAAACUCUGUCUCUACCAAAAAAUACAAAAAUUAACUUGGCAUGGUGGCACAUACCUGCAGUCCCAGCUACUUGGGAGGGUGAGGUGGGAGGAUAACUUGAACCCGGGAGGUGGAG
rnacentral:lncRNA from 1 species